UCUGGUGCUGGAGUCAUAUCUGUUUCCUGUUGGUUUGGAGUUUGUGGAGCUGAUUUAUUCUGAAGGAGAUUCAUCUGCUUCUGUACGAACCAGAAAACCACUGGACGCUGAUGAACUAAAGGAGUAUGGAGAGAAAUUAUAUUAUUCAGUCACCUGCUUGAACACAGGGCUAAAAAACCUCCGGACGGUAGACAUUCUGGACAUCAAUGACAACCCUCCGAUCUUCCAGAGCAAAUCAUACAG